CGCCGUUGGGGGUGGCCCCGCCCGGGGGAGGGCCAAUGGGGGCGUCCUCGCUGACGCGCUCUUUAUGGCCAGUACCCCCGCACGGGCGGGUCUCAAGGAAGGGCUGUCAAGCACUAUGUUGCCAAGCUGUGUACCCUGGCCCAGGGAUAUAUGCUCAACGAGGGUAUCAUUUACCAUUGAAGGGAUAGCAUUAGCUUCAAAACAGGAGCCAGCAGAAACAAACAACAGUCAGAGAAGUUGAAGAAGACUUGAGAACAUGUGUCCUGGAAUCUCAGAAAGGCAAGAAGGUGAUUAAUGAGACUGCAAGCGGCAGACAAAUCAAAAUGAAGCAUAUAUCCAGAUGAGUACAGCAUUUUACAGGGCUUCCAGAUCCUACUUGAAAAAUCCCAAAUAAGGAGAUAUAGUCUUGAGGCUUCCCCACAAAAAACUCUGCUGGGGCCUCCAAGAAGACAGCAAACAGAGGAAUGAUAUAAUUUCCUAAUUUCCAACUGUGAUCUUACAGCCAGAUGGGAGAGCAUGAUGUGAUGCCAUCCUACCAUGCUUCUGUGGUCCUUGGGAAGGUAAAAAGCCAGAAGCUUCAAGCUUGCAGGUAAAGCUGACCCCGUUGUCAUUUUCACUGAUAGAAGAGACACAGACAGAGCUCG